AAUCGAAGCAGUGAACUUAAGCCCCAGUAAACGGCGGCCGUAACUAUAACGGUCCUAAGGUAGCGAAAUUCCUUGUCGGGUAAGUUCCGACCCGCACGAAAGGCGUAACGAUUUGGGCACUGUCUCAACAACAGACUCGGUGAAAUUGUAAUUCCGGUGCAGAUUCCGGAUACCUGCGACAGGACGGAAAGACCCCAUGGAGCUUUACUGUAGCUUGACAUUGGGUCUUGGUACUACAUGUACAGGAUAGGUGGGAGGCUUUGAAACCAGGACGCCAGUUUUGGCGGAGCCAUCCUUGGGAUACCACCCUUGUAGUACUGGGACUCUAACCAUAGGCCAUGAAUCUGGUCUUGGGACACUGUCAGGUGGGCAGUUUGACUGGGGCGGUCGCCUCCCAAAAGGUAACGGAGGCGCUCAAAGGUUCUCUCAGUACGGUCGGAAAUCGUACGUAGAGUGUAAAGGCAAAAGAGAGCUUGAUUGCAAGACAUACAGGUCGAGCAAGGAUGAAAAUCGGACUUAGUGAUCCGGUGGUUCUGCGUGGAAGGGCCAUCGCUCAACGGAUAAAAGCUACCCUGGGGAUAACAGGCUUAUCUCCCCCAAGAGUCCACAUCGACGGGGGGGGUUGGCACCUCGAUGUCGGCUCAUCACAUCCUGGGGCUGUAGUAGGUCCCAAGGGUUGGGCUGUUCGCCCAUUAAAGUGGUACGCGAGCUGGGUUCAGAACGUCGUGAGACAGUUCGGUCCCUAUCCGUCGCAGGCGUAGGAAAUUUGAGAAGACCUGUCCUUAGUACGAGAGGACCGGGAUGGACGUACCUCUGGUGUACCAGUUGUCCUGCCAAGGGCAUGGCUGGGUAGCUAUGUACGGAAUGGAUAAGCGCUGAAAGCAUCUAAGCGCGAAGCCAACUUCAAGAUAAGAUUUCCCACCGCAAGGGUAAGACCCCAGAAAGACUAUCUGGUUGAUAGGUCGAAGGUGUAAGUGCAGCAAUGUAUUUAGCUUAUCGAUACUAAUAGGUCGAGGACUUGACCAAU
rnacentral:rRNA from 1 species